UACGGAGGGUGCAAACGUUGUUCGGAAUUACUGGGCGUAAAGCGCGUGUAGGCUGCUCGGAAAGUCGGAUGUGAAAGCCCUGGGCUCAACCUAGGAAGUGCAUUCGAAACUUCCGAGCUGGAGUGCUGGAGAGGAAGGCGGAAUUCUCGGUGUAGAGGUGAAAUUCGUAGAUAUCGAGAGGAACACCGGUGGCGAAGGCGGCCUUCUGGACAGCCACUGACGCUGAGACGCGAAAGCGUGGGGAGCAAACAGG
rnacentral:rRNA from 1 species